rnacentral:rRNA from 1 species
UACGAAGGGACCUAGCGUAGUUCGGAAUUACUGGGCUUAAAGAGUUCGUAGGUGGUUGAAAAAGUUAGUGGUGAAAUCCCAGAGCUUAACUCUGGAACUGCCAUUAAAACUUUUCAGCUAGAGUGUGAUAGAGGAAAGCAGAAUUUCUAGUGUAGAGGUGAAAUUCGUAGAUAUUAGAAAGAAUACCAAUUGCGAAGGCAGCUUUCUGGAUCAUUACUGACACUGAGGAACGAAAGCAUGGGUAGCGAAGAGG